AUAUACCUGGCGAAUUGCCAAUACGAGGCUAAAGUGACCAGGGUUAAAAUGUAAAUAUGUUAAAAGAGUAUUUUAUAGAAUUUAAAUAGUUUCAUUGUUAUUGAUAUCUGUAUUAAUAUAGGGAGGUGACCAUUCUACAUUGAUCCAGUGCCUUUUUAUGGGAUUCGAAACUGUGACUGUGAGAUGUAUGAGAGUUUGACUUCUAGGCGGGCAAUUCUACUUUCACUUUAAACGGUACGUUGAAAAGAGCAUGCUGCAUCUUUGAUGUAAAAUAUCUCGAAAAGGAAUCAAGGACCCUAUUGCAAAUUUGGCCUUGUUGGAAAGGUUAGGAAUUUUGCUGAAAGUUGAUAUCUGUCAUUAUACUGGGGAAAUUUUUUUUUUUUGAAUUAGGAGGGGUUGAAAAUGGGUAUAUUUUCCUCAUUUUUGUUGCUUUUUUACUUCCAGGAUGGCAGGUGCCUGAGUGUAUCUCGACCCAUUUCCAGGCUAGCAUCAGAUGUCAUGAUGGACCUUUAAAAUCUUUCACAUGUGUGCUUUCAAGAACCAUAUACAUUAUUUUUGAAAAUUGGUUGCCAUGGUAAUAAAAUCUGAAAAUUAACACAUGGGCUUCUGAAGGCGAAUUUUCCUCCAUUUCCUGGUAGUUUGUGACCUUAAGCACAAAUCAGCUUGAAACUUGAAUUUUCCAGGCAAGAAUUUUUUUGUUUAUUGUGUUUAAAUAUGAUGUUUAUGCUUUAAAUAUGAGGUUUAUACUUAAUAUUAUUGAUUUCAUUGAAAUUGAAGGUCAUCGAUUAGUAAAUGUCAGAAGUAUUCUUAGCAAUUGGUCGAGUGUGAGUGCAAGAAAUUUCUCCUCAGCCAUAAAUUUUCUAUGAAAGUUUUUUGCAAUGCUAAUGAUGGAUGGAUGUGUGUGUCUGUGUGUGUGUGUGUGUGUCUGUCUGUGUGUGUGUGUGUGUGUCUGUCAAUCAGUGAGUGAGUGUGUGUGUCUGUCUGUCUGUCUGUCUGUGUGCGUGUCUUUCUGUGUGCAUACGUGUGUGCGUGCGUUCGCGCGCAUGCAUGUGUACGUGUCUGUCUGUGUGUCUAUGUGUUUGUCUGUGUGACUGACUAUGUGUUUGUGUGUCUGUCUGUCUAUGUGUCUGUCUGUCUGUGUGUGUUUGUCUGUCCGUGUGUGUGUUUGUCUGUGUGUGUGUUUGUCUGUCUGUAUAUGUAUGUGUUUGUCUGUCUGUAUAUGUAUGUUUGUCUGUGUAUACCCGUUCUAUGUGUGUGUUUAUCAGUGUGUGUCUGUCUGUGUGUGUUUGUCUAUGUAUGUGUUGUGUGUAUCUGUCUGUGUGUCUGUCAGGUAGUCAUAGAGAAACAGAUAAAGCUUCAGAAUAUAAAUUUCAAUUUUAUUGAAUUCACUGUAUAUUGCAUAAGGAUCACUAACAUAGGUGUGAUACACUGUACAUCUAGUGGAGUACACCGACUUUUCAGAAACUUUUUGAUAUGUCAUCCAUACGCAUCCUGGCAUGAAACUGCUUCGCUUCUGUUUGUCUAUUUGAAUUACACCAGUGGAUCUACAUAGGCUAGCUUAACUAUGACAUCAUAAUAUAACACGUAAUGUGAUGUCAUAAUAGAGUAAUGACAUCAGAUUUUUUUUUUUUUUUUUUUUUUUUCUUGGCUAGAGUUAUCUUCCUUGACAAAUAUUCUUCUUCAUACAAAGGUGUCUUAUUUUGACUUAUGUUUAUUAGAUAAAAGCAUGAUAUCAGGGUAAUUUAUUAAAGAUGUGACGGUUUAGACGAACCAAUUUUUAGGGCAAAUUUCUCAUUGAAAUAAGUUUUUUUGAACUUGAAAAAACAAAAAAACAGACUCUCCAGGAUUGCUCAAGUUAACAUCCUUACUGGCCAUUUCAGGGUUUUUUUCUCUACAAUUCCUUUUAUUUCACAUCAAAUUUCCUUAAAAUACAAUUCUAGUAUUUAUUUGGAAUCAAAAUCGCAUGUAUUUCACUCAGUUCUGGGUCUUUUAUUCUAUUUUCAACUUUACCAAGGGGAAGAACUCUGCUGGAAACAGUGAUGUGAAGAGGGCAGUUUUUGUUCACUCAUUUCAAGAUAUAAUUAACAAUAACUCCCCAUGUAUGAUACAUCAUUUUACUCGGAAAAACUUAAAUUUUUAAACAGUAUAGGUAUUUCAUGAUGUCGUAGAAUUUCCGCAGUCUUUAAGCACAAAUCAGCUUGAAACUUGAAUUUUCCAGGCAAGAAUUUUUUUGUUUAUUGUGUUUAAAUAUGAUGUUUAUGCUUUAAAUAUGAGGUUUAUACUUAAUAUUAUUGAUUUCAUUGAAAUUGAAGGUCAUCGAUUAGUAAAUGUCAGAAGUAUUCUUAGCAAUUGGUCGAGUGUGAGUGCAAGAAAUUUCUCCUCAGCCAUAAAUUUUCUAUGAAAGUUUUUUGCAAUGCUAAUGAUGGAUGGAUGUGUGUGUGUGUGUGUCUGUCUGUGUGUGUGUGUGUGUGUCUGUCAAUCAGUGAGUGAGUGUGUGUGUCUGUCUGUCUGUCUGUCUGUGUGCGUGUCUUUCUGUGUGCAUACGUGUGUGCGUGCGUUCGCGCGCAUGCAUGUGUACGUGUCUGUCUGUGUGUCUAUGUGUUUGUCUGUGUGACUGACUAUGUGUUUGUGUGUCUGUCUGUCUAUGUGUCUGUCUGUCUGUGUGUGUUUGUCUGUCCGUGUGUGUGUUUGUCUGUGUGUGUGUUUGUCUGUCUGUAUAUGUAUGUGUUUGUCUGUCUGUAUAUGUAUGUUUGUCUGUGUAUACCCGUUCUAUGUGUGUGUUUAUCAGUGUGUGUCUGUCUGUGUGUGUUUGUCUAUGUAUGUGUUGUGUGUAUCUGUCUGUGUGUCUGUCAGGUAGUCAUAGAGAAACAGAUAAAGCUUCAGAAUAUAAAUUUCAAUUUUAUUGAAUUCACUGUAUAUUGCAUAAGGAUCACUAACAUAGGUGUGAUACACUGUACAUCUAGUGGAGUACACCGACUUUUCAGAAACUUUUUGAUAUGUCAUCCAUACGCAUCCUGGCAUGAAACUGCUUCGCUUCUGUUUGUCUAUUUGAAUUACACCAGUGGAUCUACAUAGGCUAGCUUAACUAUGACAUCAUAAUAUAACACGUAAUGUGAUGUCAUAAUAGAGUAAUGACAUCAGAUUUUUUUUUUUUUUUUUUUUUUUUCUUGGCUAGAGUUAUCUUCCUUGACAAAUAUUCUUCUUCAUACAAAGGUGUCUUAUUUUGACUUAUGUUUAUUAGAUAAAAGCAUGAUAUCAGGGUAAUUUAUUAAAGAUGUGACGGUUUAGACGAACCAAUUUUUAGGGCAAAUUUCUCAUUGAAAUAAGUUUUUUUGAACUUGAAAAAACAAAAAAACAGACUCUCCAGGAUUGCUCAAGUUAACAUCCUUACUGGCCAUUUCAGGGUUUUUUUCUCUACAAUUCCUUUUAUUUCACAUCAAAUUUCCUUAAAAUACAAUUCUAGUCUUUAUUUGGAAUCAAAAUCGCAUGUAUUUCACUCAGUUCUGGGUCUUUUAUUCUAUUUUCAACUUUACCAAGGGGAAGAACUCUGCUGGAAACAGUGAUGUGAAGAGGGCAGUUUUUGUUCACUCAUUUCAAGAUAUAAUUAACAAUAACUCCCCAUGUAUGAUACAUCAUUUUACUCGGAAAAACUUAAAUUUUUAAACAGUAUAGGUAUUUCAUGAUGUCGUAGAAUUUCCGCAGUCUUUAAAGUCUCAAUAUACCUGGCGAAUUGCCAAUACGAGGCUAAAGUGACCAGGGUUAAAAUGUAAAUAUGUUAAAAGAGUAUUUUAUAGAAUUUAAAUAGUUUCAUUGUUAUUGAUAUCUGUAUUAAUAUAGGGAGGUGACCAUUCUACAUUGAUCCAGUGCCUUUUUAUGGGAUUCGAAACUGUGACUGUGAGAUGUAUGAGAGUUUGACUUCUAGGCGGGCAAUUCUACUUUCACUUUAAACGGAUGGCAGGUGCCUGAGUGUAUCUCGACCCAUUUCCAGGCUAGCAUCAGAUGUCAUGAUGGACCUUUAAAAUCUUUCACAUGUGUGCUUUCAAGAACCAUAUACAUUAUUUUUGAAAAUUGGUUGCCAUGGUAAUAAAAUCUGAAAAUUAACACAUGGGCUUCUGAAGGCGAAUUUUCCUCCAUUUCCUGGUAGUUUGUGACCUAAGGUCAAUCCGGCCCUAGUCGACCCGGCCCCUGUCGAUCCGGCCCCAAGUCAUUCCGGCCACAAUUACCGUAGUCAUCCCGUCCCCAUAUACGUUUUAUAGAUAUUUUCUGUUUAUAAUUUAUGUAAUGGGGUGGGAAAUACAUUUAUGUUUUAUAAAUGAUGAAACAUUGUUUAAUAUGAUAAAUAAAAAAUGUAUCAAUUCAUCAAAUUUCAGUUAAAGCAAUACAAGUUAACUUAAUUCAAAAUAAAAGAUCAAAUAGAAUAACAUAGACAAUUUUAUUGACAAUUAAUUCAUUAUCAAAAUUUCAUUUGAGUGGCACGUUUGCUAUUUAUUAUUUCCUCAUACUUUUAAUACUCAAAAUUUACAUGAUGUAAUACAUGUAUUUUGAAACAAAUUAAAUGAAAUGUGUAGGUAUGAGGAUUAUAUUAGUCAAGCCGAUAGGUGUUAAUAUUGGUGCAGACUACUGUGAUAGUUGAAAGUACCGCCAGUUAGUUACAGCUUGUAUUGCUUUAACAUAUAACAAUUAUCACUUACAAAUUGAAAAAAAAGAUAUAAAGAAAUACAAAUUCUAGAACUCUUAAGGUAGAGAUUGAUAGGUUGAUGCUAAAAAAAAUUAACCAUUGAAUUUUUUUUAUUUUGAUAUAUGUUUAUGAUGAAGCUUUGAUAUAAAACAUAAUAAAAAAUCAAUGUAGGUAAUCGACCUUGUUUUUGAGAAAUAUGGCGAUUUUAACAACACCUUCUUUAGUCCUUGUAAAGCGUAAAAA